AUUGUUCUUUCACCACACUUACGCUUCUCCAAAUUUAGAAAGAAGCUGUGUACACAAUGUUCUUGCGAGUUACAAUUACGCGUCCGGUUUGGCGGCAACUUCAAAGAGUGGACAUAUGGUUGCUCCUUCAGGUAGCUAUAAUUACCCUCUCUAUAAUGCAAUAUCGUAUUAUCCAGUUGUAAUGAAUGAUAGUAACACUUAAUCGGAUUGGAUUCAGUUAAAUCUACAUUUCUCAAGGUCUCUAACAUUGAGAUUUGAUUAUCUUUCAUGUCAAUACCUUCUUUGUCAUGUGACUUGUAUAUAUUCGUGUACAUUCAGAAUCGUACCUUCGCACAAUGUCUUUGCACAAUGGCACAAGCAACGUGGUCUCUUUCUGUAAAAAAUAGCACUCUUUAUUUCAGCCACAGCAAAGAUCCCGAACCACGUGCAGUCAGCAGAGUUACAGCGUCUGGUUACCGUCUUGCAGUUACGAUACAGAAUAUGUGCACAUAGCUUUCAAUGACCAGACGAAAAAAAGAAUUCAUUUCAAGUAUGUUGAGAAGAAAACGACCCAUCUCUGAAAAAGUCACCUCACCCAAGAAAUGAGAAUGAAAAGUGCAAAGUCUCCCAAGGAAUUGUCUUGUAAUAAAGCAUGUGAAUAAAUAAUUUUUUGAAAUA